UACCAGCACCCCGAGUGGUCGGGACGAUUAUUGGGCCUAAAGCAUCCGUAGCCGGUUCUGCAAGUCCCCCGUUAAAUCCAGCUGCUCAACAGAUGGGCCGCGGAGGAUACUACAGAGCUAGGAGGCAGGAGAGGCAAGCGGUACUCAGUGGGUAGGGGUAAAAUCCGUUGAUCCAUUGAAGACCACCAGUGGCGAAGGCGGCUUGCCAGAACGCGCUCGACGGUGAGGGAUGAAAGCUGGGGGAGCAAACCGG
rnacentral:rRNA from 1 species